rnacentral:rRNA from 1 species
AUGAACGCUGGCGGCGUGCUUAACACAUGCAAGUCGAACGGAAAGGCUCCUGCUUGCAGGGGUACUCGAGUGGCGAACGGGUGAGUAACACGUGGGUGAUCUGCCCUGCACUUCGGGAUAAGCCUGGGAAACUGGGUCUAAUACCGGAUAGGACGAUGGUUUGGAUGCCAUUGUGGAAAGUUUUUCGGUGUGGGAUGAGCUCGCGGCCUAUCAGCUUGUUGGUGGGGUAAUGGCCUACCAAGGCGUCGACGGGUAGCCGGCCUGAGAGGGUGUACGGCCACAUUGGGACUGAGAUACGGCCCAGACUCCUACGGGAGGCAGCAGUGGGGAAUAUUGCACAAUGGGCGCAAGCCUGAUGCAGCGACGCCGCGUGGGGGAUGACGGCCUUCGGGUUGUAAACUCCUUUCGCUAGGGACGAAGCGUUUUGUGACGGUACCUGGAGAAGAAGCACCGGCCAACUACGUG